rnacentral:rRNA from 1 species
UACGAAGGGGGCUAGCGUUGCUCGGAAUCACUGGGCGUAAAGGGUGCGUAGGCGGGUCUUUAAGUCAGGGGUGAAAUCCUGGAGCUCAACUCCAGAACUGCCUUUGAUACUGAAGAUCUUGAGUCCGGGAGAGGUGAGUGGAACUGCGAGUGUAGAGGUGAAAUUCGUAGAUAUUCGCAAGAACACCAGUGGCGAAGGCGGCUUACUGGUCCGGUUCUGACGCUGAGGCGCGAAAGCGUGGGGAGCAAACAGG